rnacentral:rRNA from 1 species
UACGGGGGGGGCAAGCGUUGUUCGGAAUUACUGGGCGUAAAGGGCUCGUAGGCGGCCAACUAAGUCAGACGUGAAAUCCCCAGGCUCAACCUGGGAACUGCGUCUGAUACUGGAUGGCUUGAAUUCGGGAGAGGGAUGCAGAAUUCCAGGUGUAGCGGUGAAAUGCGUAGAUAUCUGGAGGAACACCGGUGGCGAAGGCGGCAUCCUGGACCAACACUGACACUGAAAAGCGAAAGCCAGGGGAGCAAACGGG